CGAGGGGGGCAAAUGUUGUUCGGAAUCACUGGGCGUAAAGGGAGCGUAGGCGGGUCCUUAAGUUAGGUGUUUAAUCCCGGGGCCCAACCCCGGACCGGCACUUAAAACUGGGAAUCUUGAAUAGUGGAGAGGUCGGUGGAAUUGGGGGUGUAGCGGUGGAAUGCGUAGAGAUCCCCAAGAACACCAGUUGCGAAGGCGGCCGACUGGACACAUAUUGACGCUGAGGCUCGAAAGCAUGGGGAGCAAACAGGAUUAGAUACCCUGGUAGUCCAUGCCAUAAACGAUGAAUACUAGGUUUUGGGCCCGUCAACGGUCCAGAGCCGCAGCUAACGCGUUAAGUAUUCCGCCUGGGGAGUACGGUCGCAAGACUG
rnacentral:rRNA from 1 species